UACGUAGGGUGCAAGCGUUAAUCGGAAUUACUGGGCGUAAAGCGUGCGCAGGCGGCUAUGCAAGACAGAUGUGAAAUCCCCGGGCUCAACCUGGGAACUGCAUUUGUGACUGCAUGGCUAGAGUACGGUAGAGGGGGAUGGAAUUCCGCGUGUAGCAGUGAAAUGCGUAGAUAUGCGGAGGAACACCGAUGGCGAAAGCAAUCCCCUGGACCUGUACUGACGCUCAUGCACGAAAGCGUGGGGAGCAAACAGG
rnacentral:rRNA from 1 species